rnacentral:lncRNA from 1 species
AUGGAGCUAGAACUGAUGUUGUGGAUAAACAUUAUGGUACUCCAUUACACUGUGCUAGUGAAACUGGUAAUGCUAAUAUUAUCAAAUUAUUAUUAACUAAAGGAAAGGCUGAUGUGAAUGCUGUGGAUAGGUGGAACAGAACUCCAUUGUUUAAAGCUGUUAAGAGUCGUAGUAUUGAAGCUGUCAAUAUUCUAUUAACUAAUGGAGCUAGAACUGAUGUUGUGUCUAAAUAUUAUGGCACUCCAUUACACUGUGCUAGUGAAACUGGUAAUGCUAAUAUUAUUAUAUUAUUAAUAACUAAAGGAAAUGCUGAUAUAAAUGCUGUGGAUAAAGACAACUGUACUCCAUUGUUUAAUGCUGUUAAGAGUGGUAAUA